AGCGGCAUCCAAACCCAACACAAACACCUUGUUGGAAUUGUUCGUCACGCCCGCCGCCGGCGAUAGGGGGAGUUUCUGGAUUGUUCAGCUUUGUGGCGAUGGCGAUGCCGCGGUCGCCGGGCGCCGGCUCGCUCCGGUUUCUUGGCCUCCUGAAGCAGCCGGAGGCGGGGCCCGACGGCGCGGCGUCGUUCGAGCUGGACGAGAGCGACGUCCUGUGGCCUGUCGGUGGUGGCGG
rnacentral:lncRNA from 1 species